ensembl:lncRNA
GUAGGUCCUCCCGCUGUGAUUCGAUCGCAGCCUGCGUUUAGCUGCUCCUCGAGGGUUCUCCUGGCAGCUAGAAAACAGGGAGGCCGGAGAGCAUAGACUAUAUGGGGAUGGUGGCGGAGAUGGUGGGGAGAGGGCCACCCCUCGUGGGCCCGCCCCUAUCCAUAGCCAGCGCUCCCUUCCAGACCCAGGGCCCUCAGGGCCUGGCUGGGGUUUGAUUUAUAGGAGCAAGAGGGGCUUGUGGCGAGACCACCACCUGGAAAGCGUGUUGACCCUGGAGAUCCCAGCCUUAAACUUGAUCCAUGAUCUGCACCAGCGAAGACAUCAAAGGACAUUUGUUGAAGUCACUGUUAGGACAAGAACCACGCUGGAAAGUGCUUGUGAUAAAGGCCCACAGGGAAGGGCGUGGCCGCUGCUGGCGGCUCCGGGCAGAAGCGAGUGUUGUGCCAUCGAGCUUUACAGAUUUCAAAGCCUCUGGCUGUUUGGGACCAAAGUGUGUCUUACUGUGUCAGUCUGGGAGGGCAGGUGCCUUGCGGUCUGGAUCGGGGGCAGCCAUGGAGCCGGCCCGCAGCACUGCCCUCCCGGCCCCUCGCCUGGGAGCGAGCAGGGACCAUCCUUGCAGUAAGGUUAUUCCCAGGUCGCACUGACUUGAAGCUCUGUCGUCACCUUGUGUCUUAAGAGAAGCCGAGAGGCAGGGCGGGCGGGCUGCCUGCACGCGGUGGUUGCCGCCCAUGGCUCAGGGCUGUGUGCUUCCUAUCGCUGUACCUCAGGGCGAUGUGGGGCGACUGCCCCAGAGCGGUCCUCUGUGGCCUGCUAACUCGAAAGGUACUCUGUCUGGUGUUCCGGCCAAGGGGACUGGUCAGGCUGUGACCAGUGGGCUGUGACAACCCCUGGGUAGGCUGGCCGGGUGGCUGAUGCUGGAGAUGACCCUGGAGUUGGCCUUGUGGGCCCCGGGGGUCUGCGGGCACCGCUCAGGGCCCAGUGUCCCUGAGCAGAGGGCUUGGCAGAGAUUUGGUUGGUCGCCGUGUCAUAUAAAUGGACUUACUACCAAAACAGGGUAACAUAGGUCUGGUUUGCACCCCUGGUUCCCUAUAAAAGUCCGCUGAGUGGAGAAUCAAAUCGAUGCCCCAGACACGCGGCGGGGUCUGCCCGUGAGGGAGCGCCCCCCCGUGGGGAGGCUCGAGGGGCCAUCGAGGUUGGCCAGGUGGGACCUGGUACCCAUUCUGUCGGCAGGGUCAGCACUGCGAUGUUCCCCGGGUGGCUGGAGGGCCCCUGAGCUGGGGGGACCAGCAGUGUCCCCCAGAGGGAGGCAGGACGGCUGGGUCGUUGGCUCCAAAUAGUCCUCGGGUGUGUUUUCUUAAAGGCUCGAGUGUGUGGAGACGUAGAUCUCUGGCCCCCCAGAACCCCAAGGUGGAGCCUCUGAGAGGCUGCAGGGGCAGGAGUGGCUGGUAGAGCUUGUGGGGAAGGGCCGUCCUCUCUGUCCAGCCUUCGCCUUCCGGGCACCACAGGCCCCUGUAGCCUGAGCUGAAAAAACGCUCCGGGAGGUGCCAGCCGAUCCCUUGUGCAGCUGAGGGCGCGCAGCAGCCGGUGACAGGGACAGCUGCGCAGAGCAAGGCUGUCAGACCCCAGAUUCUCUGGACAUGAGCCACGUUCGAGCUGUUGGGCUUCCACCCGGGCUUCUGUCCACCUUUGGCUGCCCCGGCUGUGAGCGCAGGAACCCCUGUGAGGGGCCUCCUGGGAAGGUUGCUGCCAGAAACGGACGUGCCCGACUCUCCGUGUUCCAUCCACAGGCGGCUGCUUCUAGGACACACCAUCCAUCUCCUGCCCGCUUCCGGGCCUGGGGCCUCAGGCCUGCCUGACAGGGCUAACGCAAGGGUCCACCCCCGAGCGUUCCUGGGGCUCAGCUGUCAGCGGACUGGUGUCGAUUCAUCGCGGCUCUUGGGCACCCGGUAUGUUUGGGGGCUGUUGUCAUUACCUCCUCGUGGGGAGCCGCCCACCGCCGUCCUGGCCCCUUGGCCAGCCCAUCCUCGGGAGUGGCCGCCUCCACUGGGCCUCCACCGAGCUGAGUGCCCACCUUGCCCUCUUGCCCUACCCCGGGCUGCCAGGGGGCACAGCUCCACGUGCUGUGGACCGAGACUGUCUCUCGGUGGCGGAAUGACCCAAUUGUUGGAAAUGCCUCCUGCUGCCAGAGAAACUCCCCAGGCAUCUCGGAACAAAACUUACUUAGUUCCAUUGUGAACUGGCCACAGGACAACUUUUUUUUUAUCAACUUAAUUAAGUUGGAGCGCUAUAAUAGCUCUUGCUGAUUUUAGCAGUGAUACAAGUGUGUGUUAAACACAUAACGUUUUAUGAGGAAAAGGGAUUAUAAAGAAAGGUAAUAUCGCACAUCACUUAAUUUUUUUAUUAGGUGGGCACAAGCGGCCUGGUGUUCGUGUGUCUUGAUGCAGAGCCCUAGGUCUCGGGGCUUCUUUCCGGUAGAUGUGGCUGCAUGGCACUCUCUGCCCCAUCCCUGUGCAUAAGGUCCUGUCUGUGUGACACGCUCACUUUCCGAUGUAGACCAGGCUCUCCCUAUGUCUGUUUCGCUCUGUCACUCUGUGGUUGAAACUUAAUAAACCUUUCCCUGCCAGGU